rnacentral:tRNA from 1 species
GGACGCUUAGUUCAGGGGUUAGAACGCUGUCCUCACACGGCAGAAGUCGCUGGUUCAAAUCCAGCAGCGUCCA